GACGAACGCUGGCGGCGUGCCUAAUACAUGCAAGUAGAACGCUGAAGGAGGAGCUUGCUUCUCUGGAUGAGUUGCGAACGGGUGAGUAACGCGUAGGUAACCUGCCUUGUAGCGGGGGAUAACUAUGGGAAACUAUAGCUAAUACCGCAUAAUAGUAGAUGUUGCAUGACAUUUGCUUAAAAGGUGCAAUUGCGUCACUACCAGAUGGCCCUUCGUUGUAUUAGCUAGGUGGUGAGGUAACGGCUCACCAAGGCAACGAUACAUAGCCGACCUGAGAGGGUGGUAGCCCACACUGGGACGGAGACACGGACAAGACUCCUAAGGGAGGCAGCAGUCGGGAAUCUGAGGCAAUGGACGGAAGUAUGACCGAGCAACGCCGCGUGAGUGAAGAAGGUGUUCGGAUCGUAAAGAUCUGUUGUAAGAGAAGAACGAGUGUGAGAGUGGAAAGUUCACACUGUGACGGUAGCUUAACAGAAAGGGACGGCUAACUACGUG
rnacentral:rRNA from 1 species